rnacentral:rRNA from 1 species
UACGGAGGGAGCUAGCGUUGUUCGGAUAUACUGGGCGUAAAGCGCACGUAGGCGGCGCAGCAAGUCAGGGGUGAAAUCCCGGGGCUCAACCCCGGAACUGCCUCUGAAACUGCAGUGCUAGAAUCUUGGAGAGGCGAGUGGAAUUCCGAGUGUAGAGGUGAAAUUCGUAGAUAUUCGGAAGAACACCAGUGGCGAAGGCGACUCGCUGGACAAGUAUUGACGCUGAGGUGCGAAAGCGUGGGGAGCAAACAGG